rnacentral:rRNA from 1 species
UACAGAGGUCUCAAGCGUUGUUCGGAUUCAUUGGGCGUAAAGGGUGCGUAGGUGGCGCCGUAAGUCAGGUGUGAAAUCUCGGGGCUCAACCCCGAAACUGCACUUGAUACUGCGGUGCUCGAGUACUGGAGAAGAGAUUGGAAUUUACGGUGUAGCAGUGAAAUGCGUAGAUAUCGUAAGGAAGACCGGUGGCGAAGGCGCCCACCUGGCCUGCUACUGACGCUGAAGCUCGAAAGCUAGGGGAGCAAACGGG